GAUGAAAACCAUCUGACAGCCGGUUGGCCCGCCCACACCCCCUCUGCCCGGCCCCACCUGCUGUCUCCAUACUGAGACCACUCUCCGCCGCCGACAGAGGAUUUUAGGAGGCGUAAGCUGGAAGCUCUAAGCUCCACAUCCAGCCGCUGCCCCGCGCACAACCCAGCGACGUCUCUGCGCCUCGCAUCCAGCGACACGUCUCCGCCUCCGCUCCGGCUCCGGGGUUUGUUUCGGGCAGAAGAACAGAGGGGAUGCUCGCAGGGUCCUUGAACGCCACAAAGAAGUUCACGAGGCUGACAGGAAGAGGACUCUCCUGUUGAUUCAGCUCCUCUGCUCACCCCGGAAUAUUUCAGGAAAACACUUCUACACCUCUAUAUGGCAAAGUUCCUGGCUGAAUUACUGGGAUGCACACUUCCAGACAAGGGCACUCCACCUUUGUUCGAGUGUCGGAGCCAACCCCAUCUGAGGCCUUCCUCCAAACAGCGGCCAGCUAUUUUUGGGACAUUAACCAAUGAGAGAGCACGGUUUGACAACAGACUGG